rnacentral:rRNA from 1 species
AACGAACGCUGGCGGCAUGCCUAACACAUGCAAGUCGAACGAAGCCUUCGGGCUUAGUGGCGCACGGGUGCGUAACGCGUGGGAAUCUGCCCUUGGGUUCGGAAUAACAGUUAGAAAUGACUGCUAAUACCGAAUGAUGUCUUCGGACCAAAGAUUUAUCGCCCAAGGAUGAGCCCGCGUCGGAUUAGCUAGUUGGUGAGGUAAAGGCUCACCAAGGCGACGAUCCGUAGCUGGUCUGAGAGGAUGAUCAGCCACACUGGGACUGAGACACGGCCCAGACUCCUACGGGAGGCAGCAGUGGGGAAUAUUGGACAAUGGGCGAAAGCCUGAUCCAGCAAUGCCGCGUGAGUGAUGAAGGCCUUAGGGUUGUAAAGCUCUUUUACCCGGGAUGAUAAUGACAGUACCGGGAGAAUAAGCCCCGGCUAACUCCGUGCCAGCAGCCGCG